CCGUUAUAACGCGCAGCUCCUCCUGGAAACUUUCCGGUUCAGUCACCCGAAUGGAUCCACCACCUGUUGGAACGAGCGCCACGGCAAGGUAUUCACUCCGUUCCGAAGGAAACACUCCGCAGGCACCGACUCAGUGGGACGACUAGCUGACCAGGCUUCCUCAAAGAAUGAUUACGCCUCGGUUGACCAGCGUCACCGUGGAUGCGGAAGAGUGGAACGUAUUUCUCGAAGUGCGUGGUUGCUGCCCUCGACUGCCCCGGACCAGACGACGCCAAGCGAAGCCACUGUUGCGCGGCGAGGGCUUCGCAGGCGCGCACGUGUGCCUGCCUCUGGCGGCGUCCCUCGAGGCGACGCAGGUACGA